rnacentral:rRNA from 1 species
GACGAACAGCUCAGUAACUCUUAUUUUAUUUGAUGUAUUAGGACUAUAACUAUGUUAAAUUAUAGAUAACAAUAAUACAAUAAGAAUAAGAUCUAUCAGUUAGUUGUUAAGGUAAUGGCUUAACAAGACUAUGACGGAUAACGGUAUUACUUUGUAAUAUUCCGGAGAAGGAGCCUGAGAGAUUGCUACUAAGUCUAAGGAUUGCAGCAGGGGCGAAACUUGACCUAUGAUAUGAUAUUGAGGCAGUUAUGAGUAGUAUUUUAUAAUUAUUGUAGUAUUGUAAGUAUAUGCUACAAGAUAAAUCGGAGGGCAAAUCGAGUGCC